rnacentral:rRNA from 1 species
UACGUAGGGGGCUAGCGUUGUCCGGAAUCAUUGGGCGUAAAGAGCGCGUAGGCGGCCAGAUAAGUCCGGUGUGAAAGUCAAAGGCUCAACCUUUGAAUGCCGCUGGAAACUGUCUGGCUAGAGUCCGGGAGGGGCGAGUGGAAUUCAUGGUGUAGCAGUGAAAUGCGUAGAGAUCAUGAGGAAGACCAGUGGCGAAGGCGGGUCUCUGGACAGUUCCUGACACUGAGGCACGAAGGCCAGGGGAGCAAACGGG